CAGCCGCCGCGGGAAUACGAAGGGUGCAAGCGUUAAUCGGAAUUACUGGGCGUAAAGCGUGCGUAGGCGGUUUGUUAAGUCUGUUGUGAAAUCCCCGGGCUCAACCUGGGAAUGGCAAUGGAUACUGGCAAGCUAGAGUGUGUCAGAGGAUGGUGGAAUUCCCGGUGUAGCGGUGAAAUGCGUAGAGAUCGGGAGGAACAUCAGUGGCGAAGGCGGCCAUCUGGGACAACACUGACGCUGAGGCACGAAAGCGUGGGGAGCAAACAGGAUUAGAUACCCCCGUAGUCCCUGUCUCUUAUAA
rnacentral:rRNA from 1 species